GUGGGAAGGAGGGGCGAGACAGGUGGGAAGGAGGGGCGAGACAGGAGAGGAGAGACAGGUGGGAAGGAGAGGUGAGACAGGAGAGGAGAGACAGGUGGGAAGGAGAGAUGAGACAGGUGGGAAGGAGAGGUGAGACAGGAGAGGAGAGACAGGUGGGAAGGAGAGGUGAGACAGGAGAGGAGAGACAGGUGGGAAGGAGAGGAGAGACAGGUGGGAAGGAGAGGUGAGACAGGAGAGGAGAGACAGGUGGGAAGGAGAGAUGAGACUGGUGAGGAGAGACAGGUGGGAAGGAGAGGUGAGACAGGAGAGGAGAGACAGGUGGGAAGGAGAGAUGAGACAGGAGAGGAGAGACAGGUGGGAAGGAGAGGUGAGACAGGAGAGGAGAGACAGGUGGGAAGAAGAGGAGAGACAGGUGGGAAGGAAAGGUGAGACGGGCAGGAAGGAGGGAUGAGACAGGAGAGGAGAGACAGGUGGGAAGGAGCGGCGCCACAGACGGGUCACGGAGCUCUCCCAAGUUAGAAACAAACAAACAAACAAAAUGUUGUUUUUGAGGAGUUUGUGUUUAUUUUUGCACUUUUAACUGUUUCUUUGUUUUAAAGUUGUGUUUAUGAUUUAUUUGGGAAAUAAAGAUGAAGUUUGUUCUUUGUUGACGUCAACAAAA